GCUAUAUUGCCCAGGUUGGUCCCAAAGUCUAAGGCUCAAGUGAUUCUUCCCCAUUGGGCUUCCAAAGCUCUGGGAUUCCAGGCAUGAGCCACCGUGUCCCCUCCUCAUUCUGCUGAAUCAUCAGAGUUUUGUUCAUUCCCACACCAGGCUCUGGCCCCCAAUACCAGCUCAGUUGCUCAAUGGGCCAUGUUUGUCCUGGAGCCCAGAUGGACUGUGGCCGGGCAAGUGGAUCACAGGCCUGGCGGGCCUGGUAGGUUUCCACAUGUGAGGGGCCUGAGGGGCUCAAGGAGGGGAGCAUUGGGGAGAGGAGCCCACUGGGUGGAGGCUGGGAGUCACAGCAGGAAAUGGUGAGACAAAGGGCAUUGGCUGGUAGGGAGACAGCACAGGCAGGCCCUGGAGCUUCCUCAGUGCGGCUGGACGCUCCUGGAGACCUUCACACACCCUGCUACCUGGGCCCCGCACCGCGAGGGUGCUUUCACUGGUCUGCACCAUGGCCCAGGCCCUGGGAUUUUGAACAGCUCUGCAGGUGAAUGAAAGGUGUGGCCAGGCUGGGGAACCACCGCAUUAGAGGCUGACCUGGUUUCAGCCCCAGCCCUGUCACUGACUGGCUUUGUGAGUGUGGGCAAGUCACUCAGCCUCCCUAGGCCCCAGUGACUUCCCUGAAAGCAAGAAUGCCGCUUUCUUGCUGUUGUGAUGGUAUUAAAGGAAGUGGGCCUGGCUCUGCCCCUGACGCGGGAACAUGGAGCUGAUCCAGGACAUCUCUCGCUCGCCACUGGAGUACGUGAAGGGGGUUCUGCUCAUCAAGUACUUUGCAGAGGCACUGGGACCCCUGCAGAGCUUCUGGGCCCGGCCCGAUGACCUGCUCAUCAGCACCUACCCCAAGUCCGGGACUACCUGGGUGAGCCAGAUACUGGACAUGAUCUACCAAGGCGGCGACCUGGAGAAGUGUCACCGAGCUCCCAUCUUCAUGCGGGUGCCCUUCCUUGAGUUCAAAGCCCCAGGGAUUCUCUCAGGGCUGGAGACUCUGAAAGACACACCGGCCCCACGGCUCCUGAAGACACACCUGCCCCUGGCUCUGCUGCCCCAGACUCUGCUGGAUCAGAAGGUCAAGGUGGUCUUUGUUGCCUGAAACCCAAAGGAUGUGGCGGUCUCCUACUACCACUUCCAUCGCAUGGCCAAGGUGCGCCCUGACCCUGGGACCUGGGAGAGCUUCCUGGAGAAGUUCAUGGCCGGAGAAGUGUCCUACGGGUCUUGGUACCAGCACAUGCAGGAGUGGUGGGAGCUGAGCCACACCCACCCUGUUCUCUACCUCUUCUAUGAAGACAUGAAAGAGGUGAGACCACCCUCUGCUCCUCAGAACCCCAAAAGGGAGAUUCGGAAGAUCCUGGAGUUUGUGGGGCGCUCCCUGCCAGAGGAGACCGUGGACCUCAUGGUUCAACACACGUCAUUCAGGGAGAUGAAGAAGAACCCUAUGACCAACUACACCACCGUCCCCCAGGAGUUCAUGGACCACAGUAUCUCCCCCUUCAUGAGGAAAGGCAUGGCUGGGGACUGGAAGACCACCUUCACCGUGGCGCAGAAUGAGCGCUUCGAUGUGGACUAUGCGGAGAAGAUGGCAGGCUGCAGCCUCAGCUUCCGCUCUGAGCUGUGAGAGGGGCUCCCGGGGUCACUGCAGAGGGAGUGUGCGAAUCAAGCCUGACCAAGCGGCUCAAGAAGCAAAUAUGAAUUGAGGGCCAGGGACAGUAGGUCAUAUCUGUAAUCCCAGCAAUUUGGGAGGUUGAGGUGGGAGGAUCAUUUGAACCCAGGAGUUCAAGACCAACCUGGGCAACAUAGUGAGAUUCUGUUGAAAAAAAAUAAUAAUAAUAACAAAAUAAAAUCAGUUUU